GAAAUGCGAUAAGUAAUGUGAAUUGCAGAAUUCAGUGAAUCAUCGAAUCUUUGAACGCACAUUGCGCCCGCCAGUAUUCUGGCGGGCAUGCCUGUUCGAGCGUCAUUACAACCCUCAGGCCCCCGGGCCUGGCGUUGGGGAUCGGCGGAAGCCCCCUGCGGGCACAACGCCGUCCCCCAAAUACAGUGGCGGUCCCGCCGCAGCUUCCAUUGCGUAGUAGCUAACACCUCGCAACUGGAGAGCGGCGCGGCCACGCCGUAAAACACACAACUUCUGAAUGUUGACCUCGAAUCAGGUAGGAAUACCCGCUGAACUUAAGC
rnacentral:misc_RNA from 1 species